CAACUGAGCAACUCGUACAAAAAGUACGUUGAAUUAAAGCGAACCAGCAGCGAGUUUAUUUAAUUUUAGUCUGCAGAUUAUACAAGAAUCGCGCCGCUGAUUAUGGCCGACUAUUAUCUGGAAACGUGGCAAGAUUUCUACUGCCAGCAGUUGGUGCUUUCGUUGUCUUCAGCCACAGGUGUUCUUCUAAUUGUCCUAUGUUCGAACCGAUUGGGCCUCCGAUUGAUGCUGGUUACCCUUCAGCUGUUUCUUCUGGCUCUGAUCUGUUGGUUUUCUCUUCUGGCAUUCAACCUAAUUUACCAAAUAUCAUUAUCAUCAUCAUCAAUAUCAGCAUCAUACGAAGCCAACAAAACUAGCUAUCUUGAAAAUAUCAUCGACCAACAAACCCUACUUUACUCGACACUCUUCCUCACUUUUCUCUCGAGCUCUCUGUUCAUUUUCUUCCUAUUGCAUAUACUCAUCAACUCUGCGAUUAAAGCAGCUCAGUUGAAUUCAGACUUGAAGUCUGUCAUUGAAUGGAAUUCUGGCCGGUUGGAUCUACACAUAAAAGGACUCGCUUCAUUUCUCGAGGUACUCAUCGCUCUGCAACUAUUCGUGUGGUUCUGUGUUGCCGAUGAUCUUAUGAGGUCCAGAGUUAUGGAAAAAUCUAUCACGCAUAAUUUAGCCCUGGCUCAAGUGGAAAUAAUAUCAGUGAUUGUUUUGUAUCUGGUCAGAAUUAACAUUCUGAAGACAAGUAAAAGCAGUCAAGUAUUUGAUUGUUAGAUAAA